GAGUGGAAAGUUCACACUGUGACGGUAGUUUACCAGAAAGGGACGGCUAACUACGUGCCAGCAGCCGCGGUAAUACGUAGGUCCCGAGCGUUGUCCGGAUUUAUUGGGCGUAAAGCGAGCGCAGGCGGUUUGAUAAGUCUGAAGUUAAAGGCUGUGGCUCAACCAUAGUUCGCUUUGGAAACUGUCAAACUUGAGUGCAGAAGGGGAGAGUGGAAUUCCAUGUGUAGCGGUGAAAUGCGUAGAUAUAUGGAGGAACACCGGUGGCGAAAGCGGCUCUCUGGUCUGUAACUGACGCUGAGGCUCGAAAGCGUGGGAGCGAACAGGAUUAGAUACCCUGGUAGUCCACGCCGUAAACGAUGAGUGCUAGGUGUUGGAUCCUUUCCGGGAUUCAGUGCCGCAGCUAACGCAUUAAGCACUCCGCCUGGGGAGUACGACCGCAAGGUUGAAACUCAAAGGAAUUGACGGGGGCCCGCACAAGCGGUGGAGCAUGUGGUUUAAUUCGAAGCAACGCGAAGAACCUUACCAGGUCUUGACAUCCCGAUGCUAUUUCUAGAGAUAGAAAGUUACUUCGGUACAUCGGUGACAGGUGGUGCAUGGUUGUCGUCAGCUCGUGUCGUGAGAUGUUGGGUUAAGUCCCGCAACGAGCGCAACCCCUAUUGUUAGUUGCCAUCAUUCAGUUGGGCACUCUAGCGAGACUGCCGGUAAUAAACCGGAGGAAGGUGGGGAUGACGUCAAAUCAUCAUGCCCCUUAUGACCUGGGCUACACACGUGCUACAAUGGUUGGUACAACGAGUUGCGAGUCGGUGACGGCGAGCUAAUCUCUUAAAGCCAAUCUCAGUUCGGAUUGUAGGCUGCAACUCGCCUACAUGAAGUCGGAAUCGCUAGUAAUCGCGGAUCAGCACGCCGCGGUGAAUACGUUCCCGGGCCUUGUACACACCGCCCGUCACACCACGAGAGUUUGUAACACCCGAAGUCGGUGAGGUAACCUUUUGGAGCCAGCCGCCUAAGGUGGGACAGAUGAUUGGGGUGAAGUCGUAACAAGGUAGCCGUAUCGGAAGGUGCGGCUGGAUCACCUCCUUUCUAA
rnacentral:rRNA from 1 species